CCUACGGGCUGCAGUAGGGAAUAUUGGACAAUGGGCGAAAGCCUGAUCCAGCCAUGCCGCGUGAUAGAUGAAGGCCCUCUGGGUUGUAAAUAUCUUUUAUCUGGGAAGAAACAAUCUUAUUCUUAAGAUCUUGACGGUACCAGAGGAAUAAGCACCGGCUAACUCCGUGCCAGCAGCCGCGGUAAUACGGAGGGUGCAAGCGUUUUCCGGAUUCACUGGGGGUAAAGGGUCCGUAGGCGGAGUGAUAAGUGAAAGCUCCGAGCUUAACUUGGAAACUGCCAUUGAUACUGCCAGUCUUGAAUGUCGUAGAGGUAAGCGGAAUGUUGCAUGUAGCGGUGAAAUGCUUAGAUAUGUUACAGAACACCAAUUGCGAAGGCAGCUUACUAUGCGAUGAUUGACGCUGAGGCACGAAAGCGUGGGGAGCAAACAGGAUUAGAUACCCUAGUAGUC
rnacentral:rRNA from 1 species